rnacentral:rRNA from 1 species
GAUGAACGCUGGCGGCGUGCCUAAUACAUGCAAGUCGAGCGAACGGACGAGAAGCUUGCUUCUCUGAUGUUAGCGGCGGACGGGUGAGUAACACGUGGAUAACCUACCUAUAAGACUGGGAUAACUUCGGGAAACCGGAGCUAAUACCGGAUAAUAUUUUGAACCGCACGGUUCAAAAGUGAAAGACGGUCUUGCUGUCACUUAUAGAUGGAUCCGCGCUGCAUUAGCUAGUUGGUAAGGUAACGGCUUACCAAGGCAACGAUGCAUAGCCGACCUGAGAGGGUGAUCGGCCACACUGGAACUGAGACACGGUCCAGACUCCUACGGGAGGCAGCAGUAGGGAAUCUUCCGCAAAGGGCGAAAGCCUGACGGAGCAACGCCGCGUGAGUGAUGAAGGUCUUCGGAUCGUAAAACUCUGUUAUUAGGGAAGAACAUAUGUGUAAGUAACUGUGCACAUCUUGACGGUACCUAAUCAGAAAGCCACGGCUAACUACGUG